rnacentral:rRNA from 1 species
UACGGAGGGGGCUAGCGUUGUUCGGAAUUACUGGGCGUAAAGCGCACGUAGGCGGCUUUGUAAGUUAGAGGUGAAAGCCCGGGGCUCAACCCCGGAACUGCCUUUAAUACUGGGUAUCUUGAGUUCGAGAGAGGUGAGUGGAAUUCCGAGUGUAGAGGUGAAAUUCGUAGAUAUUCGGAGGAACACCAGUGGCGAAGGCGGCUCACUGGCUCGAUACUGACGCUGAGGUGCGAAAGCGUGGGGAGCAAACAGG